GGGGACUCGGGGAAAUGUGGAGGCAGAACCAGAACAGAAACAGAACAUAACCAUGACAGUUUGAUUUUGCUAACAUUUAGUUUAACCAUUGGCAUAUAAUCUAACAACGAUUGCUAAAGUCAACAUUUUACUAACAGAUCUACUAAUCUCUGUGUAAAAGUAACAUAAUGAUGCUGCAAUCUUUCUGAAGUCAUUUUUAAUCUCCUGUAAUUGGGCUCAGAAUCUCAGGAUAAAAUUGUCAUUUUGACCCCCUCUACAAAAUAUUGGAUUACUCCGUUUCUCUUCUUGGCACAUAGCUGUGUUAUUUUUCUGUUUUGCUGCUGGAUUUGGAGCUGUGCUUCUGCUCUGCUGUCUGAUCUACUGCAGAUCAAAUAACACUGUCACCAGCAGAACAAUCAGGAAUCUUCAGCAUUCUCUGGUCUUUUAUCCAAACAUCUGUAUGUUCUUUGCCUUUAUCUUCUGGGGUCUUACUGAAGACAACCUUAAAACAUGGAUCAAGUUUUCAAGUAGAAAAAGAGAAUUAGCUGUUUUCACAGUCGUUGUUUAUUCAGUGUUUUUGAUAGAUGCCUGGAUAAAGGCUGCAAAUAAGAACUCUGCAUGGCACAUAAUUUUUGGAAUGUUCUAUGGAUGUGUUGUGCUGUUCUCUUUCAUUUUGAGUAGAGGUUUUAUUAGGAUGCAUGUGAAGUGGGUCUGGUUAUAUUUUCUGUCUCUGGCACAAUUCUUCCUACUGUUUUCCUCAUUUGGACUUCCCAGUCCAGCUUUUCUAGCUGCGCCAGUGGUUCAGGCAAUACUGCUUAUGUGUAUGCGAACUAGCUUCUGGAAAUUAGUGAUAACAUUAUAUAUCAUCCUAGUGGUCUAUGUUCAUGUAUGCAUAUUUGGAAGAGAGAAAGAAUACUUGCAGUGGACCUUUAUGGUUGUAUUUCUUGAAGUUCUGAGGAUUAUGGUGGCCUUUGAAGACCGAGAUUAUGUUAUUGAGGCAGAACAUUCAGAAGCACAGAGACAACAACAACAGACCGAGACGAGCCAACAAGGAUCAAAUACAUUGUCUCUUUGUCAUAAAAUCAUGUUCAUGUUUGGAGCAGUUGGUCUUGUUUUGUUGAACUCUGGUUCACUGACAGCAGAACUGAUCCUGAAAGCACGAAAUGGUGAGCAUGUCGUGAAGGAUCUGAGAGUCAUAGUGUUUCUCUCUGAAUGUGUUUUUGUCUUAUAUUGGAUGAUUUUACAAAUAUGUGCUUUCUGUAAGUAUCUUCUAACAUAUUUUUAAAAGAGACUCAGUUGAUUAAAUCAAUCUGACUGUCAAAUGUAUGACUCGAUGAAUAUUAACAUCAUAAAUAAUGAGCCAGACUCAUGUAUUUUGGUG
rnacentral:lncRNA from 1 species